rnacentral:rRNA from 1 species
GACGAAGGAUGCAAGCGUUAUCCGGAUUCAUUGGGUUUAAAGGGAGCGUAGGUGGCCUUAUAAGUCAGUGGUGAAAUCUCUCAGCUUAACUGAGAAAUUGCCAUUGAUACUGUAGGGCUUGAGUAUAGUUGCCGUUGGCGGAAUAUGACAUGUAGUGGUGAAAUACAUAGAGAUGUCAUAGAACACCGAUUGCGAAGGCAGCUAACGAAACUAUAACUGACACUGAGGCUCGAAAGUGCGGGGAUCAAACAGG